rnacentral:rRNA from 1 species
AUACGGAGGAUCCGAGCGUUAUCCGGAUUUAUUGGGUUUAAAGGGUGCGCAGGCGGCCAUUUAAGUCAGCGGUUAAAUCGUGGGGCUCAACCCCAUUCUGCCGUUGAUACUGGGUGGCUUGAUUGCGGUCGAGGUUGGCGGAAUUCGUUGUGUAGCGGUGAAAUUCAUAGAUAUGACGAAGAACACCGAGUGCGUAGGCAGCUGACCAGGCCGCAAAUGACGCUCAUGCACGAAAGUGCGGGGAUCGAACAGGAUUAGAUACCCUGGUAGUCCGCACAGUAAACGAUGAAUACUUGUUUUCGGCGAUAUAAUGUCGGAGGCAAAGCGAAAGCGAUAAGUAUUCCACCUGGGGAGUACGCCGGCAACGGUGAAACUCAAAUGAAUUGACGGGG